ACUGUUGAAAGAGGUCGGAGCCUGGCAGCUGUACACUCUGUCGCUGAGCAGUGAGUCAGAGCGGCGAGUACAGCACAGGAUUCUGUGCAGGGCUAGGGGAUGACUCCCCCAGCUCUUUGUAGACCCUGGUGAGUGCUGCAGGGCAUUUCUUGGUGCUAUUACAAUAAUGGGGCAGUGACAGUUUUUAUGUCUGGUGUGACGGUAGUCGGGGCUGCAAGCUCAGACAAUCUCGCUGCUUCAAUUCUCCCUGGGAAGGGGAGGAGCCAGCACUGUUGAAAGACGCUGAAGCCCAGAAAGCCAAGCACCCCAUCGCUAAGCAGGAGACUGUCAAGGGCCCAGCCAGUGGCAAUGCUUUGAGACUAUUCUGAAUCAAACCCUUUACUUCCACCACAAAUCCACCUGGAAAAAUAUGAGGAUGAGUUCUUCAUGGAAAGUCAAUAAGAAAGAGCUGACUUCUGCAUCCAGUCACCUGAACCCACCUGAACAUCCUGAUGCUUCUAAGGACAGCCAGGCAAUGGAGUGCAGAAGAAGCAUCGGGAGAUAGGUCUCUCUGAUCAUCCAGUACUUUCUUCUGCCAACAUUUGGGGAAGACAUGGAGAAAGCCAUGCUUCAGCCCUUACAGGACAAGACUAACUGUAGCCAGCUCCUGGCUGAGCGGAGUGACAUUACAGAGAAGAGGAAAUUCCUGAAGAGGCGGCUUUCAAGGCUGGACCAAGCUCGGCACAAGCUUGCCAUAUUCUCCUAUUAAUCAGGCUUCCCAGCCUGCCCUGAAUGUUAGUGGCAUGGUGUGGACCAAGGGUUGCUUUGAGGGAGAAAUAUCUCAGUGCACAUUCCAUUAGUCUCACCCCUUUACUGUUGUAUAGUCUGAACUUUUUACUUGUUACCAUUUGGAAUUAGCAAAUUAAACAACAACAGCAACAACAACAAUAACAACACAAAACCCCUUUGGUUUUCCAUUUCAAUCAAAUGAAAGCAGCUUCAUGGGGUCAAGACAAUAGAUCUAGUAAUGAGACAAACUUUAAAAUGUGUCUGUGUCUGUCUGUGUGUGUCUGUGUUGUGUAGGUUGAAGAACAACUUUGGGUGUCAGUCCUUAGGUAACUUCUACUUUUUUAGUAGAAUCUCUCCCUGGCCUGGAACUUCUCCACAUAGCCCUCUUAGAUCUAUUCCCCAGAAGAUCUCUUGUCUCUGCAUCCCAUCUCACUGUGACUGAGAUAGCAGAUGUAUAUCACUGUGCCUGGUUUUGAAUGUGGGUUCUGGGUAUUUGAAAUCAGGUCCUCAUGCCUGUAACACUGAUCCAUCUGUCUAGUCCAACAAAAUGACAUUUUAAAAAAGUUAUGGAUUAUACUACCAAAAGUGAGAACUUAAGAGACUUUGAUGCAUCCUUCUAUGCCUCAAUUUUCUUUUCAGCAUGACAGUCAAGCACAAAUGCACAUAGAGAGUUUAAAGAUAAAACUUGAUCUGGAGACCUAUAACAGCUUGUGCAAGACCUUUAAGCAGCAGAGUGGAAGAACAGGCAUUUGAUAAAGCUACCUGAGAAAGCUACCUAAAUUUACAACUAAGGUCUGUCCACAAAGCUUUUCAACAGCACCACCUAGUAACAGACAUGUGAAACCACACUUGCAAAAUGGGAUUCACUAGGGAGUGUGGCUUCCAAAACCAAACCAAAAGGAAAGUGUCUCUCUGGUGAAUAGAAAACAGCAUCCUGGGUGUUUCCAGACUCACUGCUACCUCUCUUCCUAAUGAAGGUUUUGAUUGUAUUUUGAGACACGGUCUCACAAUGUAGUCCAGUUGGUCUUGACUGACAAUCCUCCUGUCACAGCCACUGCACCCUUGGUGAGGACAGAAGUAUACCACCGUACUAGUUCAAAUGGUGUUUGAAUGCUCUGAAAAAAUUUUCAUUUCCUCCUCCUGUGGAUACUGUUAAUAAGAGUGUACAGUCAUGGGAGAGCCUAUACUGUGUGGUGACAUUUUAUUUGUGCUUUAAUAAAGUUUGCCUGGAGAUCAGUGGAAAUAGCAAGCCAUUUAAAGUAAA